UACGUAGGGUGCGAGCGUUGUCCGGAAUUACUGGGCGCAAAGAGCUCGUAGGUGGUUUGUCGCGUUGUUCGUGAAAACCUGAGGCUUAACCUUGGGCGUGCGGGCGAUACGGGCAGACUGGAGUACUGCAGGGGAGACUGGAAUUCCUGGUGUAGCGGUGGAAUGCGCAGAUAUCAGGAGGAACACCGGUGGCGAAGGCGGGUCUCUGGGCAGUAACUGACGCUGAGGAGCGAAAGCGUGGGGAGCGAACAGG
rnacentral:rRNA from 1 species